rnacentral:rRNA from 1 species
UGAGGAAUAUUGGUCAAUGGGCGCAAGCCUGAACCAGCCAUGCCGCGUGCAGGAUGAAGCAUCUAUGGUGUGUAAACUGCUUUUGUACGGGAAGAAACCACCCCUCGUGAGGGGUAUUGACGGUACCGUAAGAAUAAGGAUCGGCUAACUCCGUGCCAGCAGCCGCGGUAAUACGGAGGAUCCAAGCGUUAUCCGGAAUCAUUGGGUUUAAAGGGAGCGUAGGUGGCCUUAUAAGUCAGUGGUGAAAUCUCUGGGCUUAACCCAGAAAUUGCCAUUGAUACUGCAGGUCUUGAAUUAUUGGGAAGUAACUAGAAUAUGUAGUGUAGCGGUGAAAUGCUUAGAGAUUACAUGGAAUACCGAUUGCGAAGGCAGGUUACUACCAAUGGAUUGACGCUGAUGGACGAAAGCGUGGGUAGCGAACA